rnacentral:rRNA from 1 species
UGCAAGUCGAACGAGAAGUCUACUUCGGUAGAUGGAUAGUGGCAGACGGGUGAGUAACGCGUAGGAAUCUACCCUUUAGUGUGGAAUAGCCGCGCGAAAGAGGGAGUAAUACCGCAUGUGCCCUUACGGGUAAAGCUUUUUAAGCGCUAAAGGAGGAGCCUGCGUCCUAUCAGGUAGUUGGUGAGAUAAAAGCCCACCAAGCCUAUAACAGGUAGCCGGUGUGAGAGCACGACCGGCCACAAGGUCACUGAAACACGGGGCCUACACCUACGGGUGGCAGCAACCAGGAAUUUUGCGCAAUGGACGAAAGUCUGACGCAGCGACACCGCGUGUGGGAAGACGCUCUUCGGAGUGUAAACCACUGUGGCAAGGGAAGAAUUUUGACGAUACCUUGCUAGAAAGCACCUGCUAACUACGUGCCAGAAGCCUCGGUAAUACGUAGGGUGCAAGCGUUAUCCGGAUUUACUGGGCGUAAAGCGUUUCGUCGGCGUUUUUGUAAGUUUAUUGUUUAAGCCCGGAGCUUAACUCCGGAAUAGCAAUAAAUACUGCAGAAAUUGAGUAUGUUAGAGGGAGCUAGAAUCCUUGGUGGAGGGGUGAAAUCCGUAGAGAUCAAGAAGAAUACCAUACGCGAAAGGCAGGCUCCUGGAACAUUACUGACGCUCAGGAACGAAAGCUUGGGUAGCAAAAGGGAUUAGAGACCCCUGUAGUCCAAGCCGUAAACGAUCCUCGCUAGUUGCCUGGUUAGUUAUGAAU